AUCUGAUUGGCCACCCCAGGUGCUAACACACUAAUUUACCUUUAAAUGGGCUUUUCAUUGUCCGCAAAAGGCUUGGGGGUAAAACAAAAAAGGCAUAACCAUUGGUGCCACCCAUGCACAAAGUUGUGCCUCACCUGGGCCACCCCAUUUUAAAAGAUCUGGCCACGCCCCUGUCUCUGUGUGUGGUAAAAAAAAAAAAAACAUGUUCCCUGGCAGCCAUGGCUGCUCCACCCACCUUGACCUAUUUAUACCAAUAAUCACCCACACCUGACCAACAAACAAUAAACUAAUGAGCCAAAAUAAUAAAUAAAAAGCAUUAUGCAAAACAAACAAAUUACCUUUGGCAUCAAAUAAAGAAAAUAAACUGGGCUAUAACUUAGGCCUAUAAUAAAGUAAAUAGCUUCAACAAUAGAUAAUUUAAGUGAAAUCUGUGUUAUGCUUGGUGGCAUGAUCACACAUACCCCUGCACCUUUAUCUCCAUCACUGCGGUGGGUCCUUGCUGGGUACACAAAAGACGGCUCCCCUCUGAAAGGACCCCUUGCAUUUGCAGCUACCUGCUGGAUCAUGGAGUCCGUGAUGGAGGGGAGGAGGAACCAGUUCAUGCAGUCAAAGCUGGAGGUGACAGACCACAGGAGAGAGCAUGCUAACUAUGCGCAGAAAGGCAGCAGCUGGGAUUCGAACCUACGACCUUCUCACUUUGAGGCCACAAUUCCACCAUGCAGCCCGUAAGAUCUUGUAUCUCGAGCCUAUUGCACAUCUGCAAAGCAGGAGCAAGUCUGAUCUAUGGAGGCCCCAUGCUGAAGCCCAAAAGACCCAAAGCACGAACUGAGAAUGUUCCGGUGCCAAACGCCACAGGAGACCUGCUUUGAUCCUGACUGGUUACGGCUUUUUUAGUGAUGCAAAGGGGCUUUAUGUUACAAAAACAUGGAAUGUCAGUGUUGCAGGUGAUUUACACACGGUGGAACAUUUGAAAAGUAGCUUUGCUUUCGUAAUUGUUUACAUAUAUGUUAAAGUUCAUUUGCAAGGACUUAUGGAACUUGGAAAAAGAGAAAGAAGGCAGAAUAUAGAUCUUUUCCUGUCAAGAAACAUAGUAGAUUAAAAAAUCUGGUAUAAUUCAUAGAAUAUCUUUGUAAUUUUUCUGAUUUAAAACAAGAAAUUAAGUUGUUAGAGGAGUUCAGAGUGUAGCUUUUGUGUUGGACUCAGACACUCCUUUUCUUUCAUCCAUGAAGUUAAUAAAAAAAAGAGAUUUAGCGAGGAAAGGGCCAAAGGGUGUUUGGUUUCUGGCUGUUUGUGAGUGACAGAAAGAUAAAAAUGCUAAAGGAACAUAUGGCAGGAUGUGCAGAUUCCUUUCAGUUUAAGACAAAUAGGAUGUAUGCCUGUUAGGACUGAUAAUAUCACUGAUAGCACAAGUUAUGGCAGUCAGUGUGUGCAUGUUAAUAUAUUUUAGCGUUGUUUAAGCAUGAAUGUGUCGUCUGGUUUUGGUUUUAAACUAAAUGUGUGCAUUUAGUUGUGUUACCAGAGUUAGGCUGUGAAUAGUGUGGGCUGUUGUAAUGGUGAUUUGCCUCCGUUUCAACCCCUGAGCGAAGGUGACUUAGUAAAAAGUAGGAAUUUUGAGAUCAGGUUUUUUUUCUG